UCGGUUUCAAUAAAUUGUUAA
rnacentral:piRNA from 1 species